rnacentral:rRNA from 1 species
CUGGCUCAGAUUGAACGCUGGCGGCAUGCCUUACACAUGCAAGUCGAACGGCAGCACGGGAGCAAUCCUGGUGGCGAGUGGCGAACGGGUGAGUAAUAUAUCGGAACGUGCCCAGUCGUGGGGGAUAACGUAGAGAAAUUUACGCUAAUACCGCAUACGAUCCAAGGAUGAAAGCGGGGGACCUUGCAAGAGGCCUCGCGCGACUGGAGCGGCCGAUAUCAGAUUAGGUUGUUGGUGAGGUAAAGGCUCACCAAGCCGACGAUCUGUAGCUGGUUUGAGAGAACGACCAGCCACACUGGGACUGAGACACGGCCCAGACUCCUACGGGAGGCAGCAGUGGGGAAUUUUGGACAAUGGGCGAAAGCCUGAUCCAGCAAUGCCGCGUGCAGGAAGAAGGCCUUCGGGUUGUAAACUGCUUUUGUACGGAACGAAAAGGUCUGCCCGAAUACGGCGG